CCACAUCAACGAUUGCAAUCAUGGCUCCAAAUUCAAAUAUUCUAUAACGGUGUUGACAGACACAUUAGAUCCAACUUAGAUAGAGCAUCCGAAGGAUCUCUCAUGUUCCAUAUGUAUGAACGAGCAUACAAAAUCAUUGAUGAUAUGGCCAUGAAUUCACACAUGUGGCCAAAUGAGAGAUUCAUGUACCAAUCCAAGCCACUAACGGUAAUAGCUAUGAAGGAAGAGAACGGCGAUGAUCGAUGCCAAAAAUCCUUAAAAAACUUAACCGUUUGGAGACAUUAUCAAGUUGACGAGAGCGGAGCCACAUUACG
rnacentral:lncRNA from 1 species